rnacentral:rRNA from 1 species
GACGAACGCUGGCGGCGUGCUUAACACAUGAAAGUCGAACGGAAAGGCCCUGCUUUUGUGGGGUGCUCGAGUGGCGAACGGGUGAGUAACACGUGAGUAACCUGCCCUUGACUUUGGGAUAACUUCAGGAAACUGGGGCUAAUACCGGAUAGGAGCUCCUGCUGCAUGGUGGGGGUUGGAAAGUUUCGGCGGUUGGGGAUGGACUCGCGGCUUAUCAGCUUGUUGGUGGGGUAGUGGCUUACCAAGGCUUUGACGGGUAGCCGGCCUGAGAGGGUGACCGGCCACAUUGGGACUGAGAUACGGCCCAGACUCCUACGGGAGGCAGCAGUGGGGAAUAUUGCACAAUGGGCGGAAGCCUGAUGCAGCAACGCCGCGUGCGGGAUGACGGCCUUCGGGUUGUAAACCGCCUUCGCCUGUGACGAAGCGUGAGUGACGGUAAUGGGUAAAGAAGCACCGGCUAACUACGUG